rnacentral:rRNA from 1 species
UACGAAGGGGGCUAGCGUUGCUCGGAAUCACUGGGCGUAAAGCGCACGUAGGCGGAUUGCUAAGUCAGGGGUGAAAUCCUGGAGCUCAACUCCAGAACUGCCUUUGAUACUGGCGAUCUCGAGUCCGGGAGAGGUGAGUGGAACUGCGAGUGUAGAGGUGAAAUUCGUAGAUAUUCGCAAGAACACCAGUGGCGAAGGCGGCUCACUGGCCCGGUACUGAUGCUGAGGUGCGAAAGCGUGGGGAGCAAACAGG